GUUGCCAUAGCUUAAUGGUAAAGCAGAACACUGUUAAUGUUUUGAUAAAGGUUCGAUUCCCUUUGGCGACU
rfam:Neolecta irregularis DAH-3 MTctg_43 mitochondrial, whole genome shotgun sequence.